CUCUGCAUGAGCUGCAGCCCACUCCUUUGCAUUCCAGUGCACUCAGCCUUAUCAAAUAUUUACUGUUGAGUUAUGGCUGCUACCCGCUCUGCAAGGUAACAGACAGGGAAGGCUGAUGUUUAUGGCUGCUACCCGCUCUGCAAGGGAACGGACAGGGAAGGCUGAUGUUUAGGGCUGCUACCCGCUCUGCAAGGGAACGGACAGGGAAGGGGAAGGCUGAUGUUUAGGGCUGCUACCUGCUCUGCAAGGUAACGGACAGGGAAGGCUGAUGUUUAGGGCUGCUACCCGCUCUGCAAGGGAACGG
ensembl:lncRNA